CAGUAGCCGCGGUAAAACGUAGGGCGCAAGCGUUAUCCGGAAUUAUUGGGCGUAAAGAGCUCGUAGGCGGUUUGUCGCGUCUGCCGUGAAAGUCCGGGGCUCAACCCCGGAUCUGCGGUGGGUACGGGCAGACUAGAGUGAUGUAGGGGAGACUGGAAUUCCUGGUGUAGCGGUGAAAUGCGCAGAUAUCUGGAGGAACACCGAUGGCGAAGGCAGGUCUCUGGGCAUUAACUGACGCUGAGGAGCGAAAGCAUGGGGAGCGAACAGGAUUAGAUACCCCCGUAGUCCCUGUCUCUUAUAA
rnacentral:rRNA from 1 species